rnacentral:rRNA from 1 species
CCUACGGGUGGCAGCAGUGGGGAAUAUUGGGCAAUGGAGGAAACUCUGACCCAGCAACGCCGCGUGAAUGAUGAAGGCCUUCGGAUUGUAAAGUUCUUUUCUCAGGGACGAAGAAAGUGACGGUACCUUAGGAAUAAGCCUCGGCUAACUACGUGCCAGCAGCCGCGGUAAUACGUAGGAGGCAAGCGUUAUCCGGAAUGACUGGGCGUAAAGGGUGCGUAGGCGGUAGGGCAAGUCAGUAGCGUAACUCAUGGGCUCAACCUAGGGACUACUACUAAAACUGUAGGACUUGAGUGCAGGAGGGGCAAUCGGAAUUCCGAGUGUAGCGGUGGAAUGCGUAGAUAUAAGGAGGAACACCAGUGGCGAAGGCGGAUUGCUGGACAGUAACUGACGCUGAGGCGCGAAAGCGUGGGGAGCAAACAGGAUUAGAUACCCGUGUAGUC